rnacentral:rRNA from 1 species
UACACUCCUGCGGGAGGCAGCAGUGGGGAAUAUUGCACAAUGGGCGCAAGCCUGAUGCAGCCAUGCCGCGUGUAUGAAGAAGGCCUUCGGGUUGUAAAGUACUUUCAGCGGGGAGGAAGGCGAUAAGGUUAAUAACCUUGUCGAUUGACGUUACCCGCAGAAGAAGCACCGGCUAACUCCGUGCCAGCAGCCGCGGUAAUACGGAGGGUGCAAGCGUUAAUCGGAAUUACUGGGCGUAAAGCGCACGCAGGCGGUCUGUCAAGUCGGAUGUGAAAUCCCCGGGCUCAACCUGGGAACUGCAUUCGAAACUGGCAGGCUAGAGUCUUGUAGAGGGGGGUAGAAUUCCAGGUGUAGCGGUGAAAUGCGUAGAGAUCUGGAGGAAUACCGGUGGCGAAGGCGGCCCCCUGGACAAAGACUGACGCUCAGGUGCGAAAGCGUGGGGAGCAAACAGGAUUAGAUACCCCGGUAGUCCC